rnacentral:lncRNA from 1 species
GUGAGAUGAUUUAUAUAAUUGUAAUUUCAGGAAUUUACAGUAAAGGCUUUUAUCCUCACUGCAUUUUGCACUUUUCCUAAUUCAGGAGCCAGAAGUUAUGGCCUUUGUGACCUUUGUAUGAUUUUUAUUUUAGUUUCUUUUUUUUUAUAUUGAAGAGUUUAGUAUGACGUCCAUUAUCACUCAACUAGUAUACAUUUUUGUUUAAUGGCAAGCUAAAGCAUGCCUCACAGGCACGGAUCCGGGGGGGGGGGGGCUGAAGGUUGGACAUGUUGGAACCCCCCUUUCUUUAUUGGACGAUCAAUGCAUUUGAAUGGGGACAUGUAGUUGGACACCCCCCCCCCCCCCAAAAAAAAAAAAUUGUCCUGGGUUAGGAACCCCUCCUUUAUAUGACUAGAUCCACCCCAGUCUCAGGUUGCGGGAUUUUCUCGUUGCAAUGAAGACCCAUCGGUGACCUAUGGCUGUUAUCUGCUC